rnacentral:misc_RNA from 1 species
AUGAGCCUGCUGUCCCCCUCCGCCGCCAUCGGCGCCGUCAGGUGCCGCGCCGACGAAGAGGCCGACCACAACAUGCUUCAGGGUUCUCAGGCGGACGGAACGCCAGAGCGGAAUCGAGGGCGAAUCCCCUGCGGACGCGGCCGCGCGCGGGGAAAGCCGACUCGAUGCUCCAGGAUCGUUUGUCCGCCGUUAAGGGCGUUCGCUCGAGCCGGACGAGUUUGGUCCCCAAAGUUGCGGUCGACCGCCACGGAUCGCGAAUUUUCCAGCUGCGUAAACAAGGAGGAUCUUCCGCGCCAAGUGGGACGCAAGAGAGAGACGGACGACCGGCCGGCCAAUGGGAGCGGAAGGUGCCCCCGCUCCUGCCUCCGACGGACGCUCACCUCUCCCGUCGAAAGUUCCUUAUCCAAGACCUGCAGCUGGCGGCGGAACUCGGCAAGACAUUGCUGGAGCGCAACAAGGAACUGGAGAACAGCCUGAAGCUGCAUCAGUCCACCAUCGACGAACAGGCCCAAGAAAUAGAGUACAUGAAGAAGCAGACGACGGCGUUGAGGGAGGUGAAUGAUUCUCGCCUGAAGAUCUACGAACAGCUGGAGGUUAGCAUCCAGGACUUGGAGCGCGCGAACCACCGACUCGUGGUCGAGAACGCCGGCGACAAGAAGCUGAUAAAAAGCCAGUGCUCGACGAUCGAGAACCUCGAGGCGAGGUGCGAGGAGCUGCACAAGAAGGUGGACGAGGCGCGCGACCGAUACGAGGCCCUCCUUCAUCGGCAGAGCGGCGGUCAGUCGUCCAGCGGGGCGGACUCGCGAGCUACCGUCCGGAAGGGGUCGACCUCGCGAGAUGGCAGCACGCAACAGAACGCUGCCUCGACCCCGCCGGCCCCCGUCCCGGACGUCUCGGGUAGCUCGAGUGCCCGGGAAUCGUCCAAGAGCGGCGCCAACGACGAGGAGACGACCGACCUGCUGAGGCAGCUGAACGAAGCUCGGAGCCAGCGGGCGAGGGAGCAGAAGAGGGUGGCCGAACUCGGCGAACAGCUGACGACCCUCCUGCAGGAGAACGCCCUGCUGGAGGAGCAGCUCAACGUCUGGAGGCACAAGGCGCAGGACAUGAAGAGUCUGCAGGAGGAAAUAAGCACGCUGGAGGAAGUGAGACAAGGACACCUCUGCGGCCGUUGUCUGCGAGGCAUCGACACGAAGACUCACGACGAGCUCUCCGUAAUGCUGGACCAGGAGGAGGACGACGACGUCGGCUUGGCCGAGUCGUACACCAGCCUCGGCCCCUGCGACGCGGAGUCCUUAUCGCAGGAGCCGGCCGCCGGCAAGGAGGAAGUCGCGGACAACCCCUACCGGGUGCUGGUCGAGAAGUACGAGGCCCUGCUCAAGGUGCAGAGGCGGCCCAGGAGCGCGGCCGCCCCGGCGGGUUGCCUGUCGCUCCAGGAGGAGCUGGAGAUGUCGGGGGAGUUCGACGGCUUCCAGCCAGAGGCGCCGCCCAGGGACCGCCUCGCCGGGGCCGCCAGACGGCAGGCGGGCCCCAGAAAGCCGUUCUCCGCCACGCCGACCGAUUUCUCCUCGGAGACCUCCUCGGGGUUCGCCGACGAGACCAGCAACAAGGCCACGCAGACCGAGGGCAGACCCGGCUCGUUCCUCUGCACCAUCGCCGACGGCGAGGACUGCCGCUUCAGCAUCUACGACGAUACGAGCUCCUUCGAGAGCAGGUUCCUCAAGACGCCGGAGUACCGGCAGACCUUCAGCGAGAUGCUCAGCGUACUGAAGCAGGCGGCCGAGGGCGACAAGGUGCCGCCGGCCUCGGCCCGGGUCGGCUCGGACGCGGGCCCCGGGGAGGACGCGCCCAGCGAGGCCACCGACGACAACCGCAGCGUCGUCUCCUCGGCCGUGUCCUCCGUCGUCUCGGAGCCUCUCUUUAGGGUGCACGAGCGGGCGGAGCGCCGGAGGGACGACAGGGCAAGGGCCGAGGACGCAGCCACGCCCAGGCCCCUCCACGGCCCCAGGAAGCCUCUGGAGUACCUGUCCGUCAGCGUGCAGGUGCGCAAGAAGGCCUCGGCGAAGAAGGCCGCCUGCAAGAAGCCGGGGCCGGGCCAGGGCGAACGGCCCACCACCCCCGACGUGGUGCCCACCACCAACCCCAAGGUCGGUCACAUCAAGCCCAGCCCCGGCCGCAGGCGGUUCCGGCCGCUGGCCGCCGACGCCGGGGUCUGGAACGGCAACACCCUCCACGUGUACCCCAAUCGGACGAAGACGUCGACCCCGGGGCCGAACCGUCGGCAGGCCGCCCCCGAGUCGCCUGGCGCCGCCUUCGAGUACAGGCCCGGGCCCGCCUCCGAGGAGGUCGCCAAGCUCAGGCGACUCGAGAUGUCCUACGCCGAGGCUCUCCGCAUGCCCAACAAGCCCAAAUCCAAUAGUCGUAGGAACUAGAGCGCCCCGACGCUCCUCUAGCAGGCCGGCUCUCCAGGGAGGACCGACCCCGCCACUCUGCCAAGUUAUUCUCUCGGACGUUUCCGUCUCGUCUCGUCUCGUCUCGUCUCGGCUCGCCUCCGGGCCGGCUCGGCGGCAGCGGGGCCGGUUCCGGGGCCGGUUCCGGGGCCGGUUCCGGACGAUUGUACAUAACUACGCGGCGGAACUUAGUCAGGCCUAGACGAGCGCUGGAGCGGUCGAAUGUCUCGUCGAUGCGACCGACCAAAUCGCGACGGAGCCUCGACUGGACGUUGCCAACGAGUCGGCGAACGAUGUCACGGUCCAUGUGCCAUUUUUAGUCGAGACGUCGAAACACUAUCCGUGUUCUCUUCCACGCCGAUUUCGUCGGUCCUGACCUAACGAUGCAUCGUGGAGUUCGUUAGCUUUUGUAUUAUUCAGGUUUAGAUGCAACGUUAGCGGUCGUCCUGGAUAAGCGAAUAAACUUCUUCAAUGCA